CUGCCUUUGAAUCGGGGAUAACGUUACGAAAGUGACGCUAAUACCGGAUAAUAUCUAAGUAGCCUCGGUUUUCUUAGAUCAAAGGGGGCCUCUACAUGUAAGCUUCUGUUCGAAGAUGAGUCCGCGUGCCAUUAGCUUGUUGGUAGGGUAAUGGCCUACCAAGGCUGCGAUGGCUAGCUGGUCUGAGAGGAUGAUCAGCCACACUGGAACUGAGACACGGUCCAG
rnacentral:rRNA from 1 species